GUACGAUACAGAGCCAACAAAGGGGGUAGAACAAGGUUGCCUGCAAAUGAGGCUACAUUAUGCUAUCAAAGUUCUUUCAGAAAUUAUUUUGGGGGCACCCCCUACACCUAGUAUCUGUCCCAGAACAAAAUGGCUACUUAUUGGUGCAGUUACUCUCUUUUUUCUUUUUCUGUCCUUCCUUUUUUCUUUCUUUCUUUCUCCCUUUUUCUUCCUUCCCUUUUUAGUGUGAAGUAACUUCACAGUAUUGUG